UGCCCCAAAGACUGGGAUAGUCGAGGGAAACCACGGGUAAUACCAGAUGUGGUCCUUAGAUGGCAUCAUCGAGGGAUUAAAUCGAGCAAUCGGCUUUGGGAGCGGCUUAUGUCCUAUCAGCUUGUUGGUGAGGUAACGGCUCACCAAGGCUACGACGGGUAGGGGGUCUGAGAGGAUGAUCCCCCCGAGUGGGACUGCGACACGGCCCACACACCUACGGGUGGCAGCAGUUUGGAAUAUUGCACAAUGGGGGAAACCCUGAUGCAGCGACGCCGCGUGGAGGACGAAGGAUCUAGGUCUGUAAACUCCUUUUGCCAGGAAAGACUUAGGACGGUACCUGGCGAAUAAGCCCCGGCUAACUACGUGCCAGCAGCCGCGGUAAGACGUAGGGGGCGAGCGUUGUCCGGAUUUACUGGGCGUAAAGAGCGCGUAGGCGGCUAGUUAAGUGAGAAGUGAAAUCUCCAGGGCUCAACCCGGAAACUGCUUUUCAUACUGGCCAGCUGGAGGGACGCAGGGGUGACUGGAAUUCCCGGUGUAGCGGUGAAAUGCAUUGAUAUCGGGAGGAACUCCAACAGCGAAGGCAGGUCACUGGGCGUUUCCUGACGCUGAGGCGCGAAAGCGUGGGUAGCAAACAGGAUUAGAUACCCUGGUAGUCCACGCCCUAAACGAUGGAUACUAGACGUAAGAGGUAUCGACCCCUCUUGUGUCGCAGCUAACGCAUUAAGUAUCCCGCCUGGGGAGUACGGCCGCAAGGUUGAAACUCAAAUGAAUUGACGGGGACCCGCACAAGCGGUGGAGCAUGUGGAUUAAUUCGAUACUAACCGAAGAACCUUACCCAGGUUUGACAUCGAUGGUAAGCCCGAGAGAUCGGGCCCUCUCUCACAAGGAGACCUGAAGACAGAUGUUGCAUGGCUGUCGUCAGCUCGUGCCGUGAGGUGUACGGUUAAGUCCGCCAACGAGCGCAACCCUCGUCCUAUGUUGCCAGCGAGUAAUGUCGGGAACUCAUAGGAGACCGCCGGUGUAAGCCGGAGGAAGGUGGGGAUGAUGUCAAGUCAGCAUGGCUCUUACGCCUGGGGCUUCACACAUGCUACAAUGGGCGCAACAAAGGGCACCGAAGCCGUGAGGUGGAGGCAAUCCCAAAAAUACGCCCCCAGUUCAGAUUGCAGUCUGCAACUCGACUGCAUGAAGGCGG
rnacentral:rRNA from 1 species